rnacentral:lncRNA from 1 species
UCUCUGGACAACCAUCACUGCUCUUCUCACCCUGGAGUACUCUUUCUGCACUGCCAAGCAACAACACUGCUCUCCAAAUAGAGACUUGGUUGUAAUAGGCUGAAUGAGUGGGCCUUGCAAACCAUUCACCUUUACUUCCAGAGAAUUGUAUUUUCUCUCACUGACUUGUCUUUUGCUCUUUUUUUUCUCAUAAGUUUUCUUUACGCAACAGUGAGAGUGUGAGUAGGCUACUCCAUAUUCUCUCCUCUCUCUCUGGAUUCUGUACAACACAUGUGGAAUUACAGCCUGAUUACCAAGGCUUUUAAGGUCAGCAGACAUGGACCUCAAU